GGGUUGUGAGGUUAAGCGACUAAGCGUACACGGUGGAUGCCCUGGCAGUCAGAGGCGAUGAAGGACGUGCUAAUCUGCGAUAAGCGUCGGUAAGGUGAUAUGAACCGUUAUAACCGGCGAUUUCCGAAUGGGGAAACCCAGUGUGAUUCGUCACACUAUCAUUAACUGAAUCCAUAGGUUAAUGAGGCGAACCGGGGGAACUGAAACAUCUAAGUACCCCGAGGAAAAGAAAUCAACCGAGAUUCCCCCAGUAGCGGCGAGCGAACGGGGAGGAGCCCAGAGCCUGAAUCAGUGUGUGUGUUAGUGGAAGCGUCUGGAAAGGCGCGCGAUACAGGGUGACAGCCCCGUACACAAAAAUGCACAUAUUGUGAGCUCGAUGAGUAGGGCGGGACACGUGGUAUCCUGUCUGAAUAUGGGGGGACCAUCCUCCAAGGCUAAAUACUCCUGACUGACCGAUAGUGAACCAGUACCGUGAGGGAAAGGCGAAAAGAACCCCGGCGAGGGGAGUGAAAAAGAACCUGAAACCGUGUACGUACAAGCAGUGGGAGCACGCUUAGGCGUGUGACUGCGUACCUUUUGUAUAAUGGGUCAGCGACUUAUAUUCUGUAGCAAGGUUAACCGAAUAGGGGAGCCGAAGGGAAACCGAGUCUUAACUGGGCGUUAAGUUGCAGGGUAUAGACCCGAAACCCGGUGAUCUAGCCAUGGGCAGGUUGAAGGUUGGGUAACACUAACUGGAGGACCGAACCGACUAAUGUUGAAAAAUUAGCGGAUGACUUGUGGCUGGGGGUGAAAGGCCAAUCAAACCGGGAGAUAGCUGGUUCUCCCCGAAAGCUAUUUAGGUAGCGCCUCGUGAAUUCAUCUCCGGGGGUAGAGCACUGUUUCGGCAAGGGGGUCAUCCCGACUUACCAACCCGAUGCAAACUGCGAAUACCGGAGAAUGUUAUCACGGGAGACACACGGCGGGUGCUAACGUCCGUCGUGAAGAGGGAAACAACCCAGACCGCCAGCUAAGGUCCCAAAGUCAUGGUUAAGUGGGAAACGAUGUGGGAAGGCCCAGACAGCCAGGAUGUUGGCUUAGAAGCAGCCAUCAUUUAAAGAAAGCGUAAUAGCUCACUGGUCGAGUCGGCCUGCGCGGAAGAUGUAACGGGGCUAAACCAUGCACCGAAGCUGCGGCAGCGACGCUGAUGCGUUGUUGGGUAGGGGAGCGUUCUGUAAGCCUGCGAAGGUGUGCUGUGAGGCAUGCUGGAGGUAUCAGAAGUGCGAAUGCUGACAUAAGUAACGAUAAAGCGGGUGAAAAGCCCGCUCGCCGGAAGACCAAGGGUUCCUGUCCAACGUUAAUCGGGGCAGGGUGAGUCGACCCCUAAGGCGAGGCCGAAAGGCGUAGUCGAUGGGAAACAGGUUAAUAUUCCUGUACUUGGUGUUACUGCGAAGGGGGGACGGAGAAGGCUAUGUUGGCCGGGCGACGGUUGUCCCGGUUUAAGCGUGUAGGCUGGUUUUCCAGGCAAAUCCGGAAAAUCAAGGCUGAGGCGUGAUGACGAGGCACUACGGUGCUGAAGCAACAAAUGCCCUGCUUCCAGGAAAAGCCUCUAAGCAUCAGGUAACAUCAAAUCGUACCCCAAACCGACACAGGUGGUCAGGUAGAGAAUACCAAGGCGCUUGAGAGAACUCGGGUGAAGGAACUAGGCAAAAUGGUGCCGUAACUUCGGGAGAA
rnacentral:rRNA from 1 species